GUCCCUAAAUUGAGCUUAUGUCCCUCGGUGUCCCUAAAUUCAGCUUAUGUCCCUCGGUGUCCCUAAAUUGAGCUUAUGUCCCUCGGUGUCCCUAAAUUGAGCUUAUGUCCCUCAACGUCCCUAAAAUGAGCUUAUGUCACUCGAUGUCCCUAAAUUGCUUCCAAACCCGCUGAUAUCAGUUAAAUCGCUUCUAUAACGGGAAAUUGGGAAAAUGGGGUAGUAUAUAUAACAGGAAAUUGGGAAAAUGGUUGAGUAUAUAUCCAUUGAUUUUUUCAUACUUGAAACACAAGUUGAGGUGACCCUUGAUAAUAAUUUUUUCAUAACAAUAAAUUGGGAAGAUGGUUGUGUUCCAUGGUGCCUUCGAUGCAAAAUUGAGUGCAGGUCACUCGAUGUUCCUAAAUUGAGUUUAUGUCUGUCGAUGACCCAAAAACUGUUGGUCUGAAUGCAGUUUCAAUGUAAAUGCUUCAAAACUCCAAAUGGCACCACGAUGGGCUAGUGUGAACUUAGGAAUUUUCAUUUGCAUGCAAUGUUCAGGGAUUCACCGGAGUCUUGGAGUGCAUAUAUCAAAGGGCACCACGAUGGGCUAGUAAUAUGGAGUAGUGUGAACCACGAUGGGCUAGUAAUAUAAAGGCACCACGAUGGGCUAGUGUGAACCUAGGAAUUUUCAUUUGCAUACAAUUUUCAGGGAUUCACCGGAGUCUAGGAGUGCAUUUAUCAAAGGUUUAUAUACAUUUUUGUUCCUUCUCAGUUUACAAAUUUUAUAAUGGUUGAACCUUCUGAUUUUGUUACAAGGUGAGGUCCACAACUUUGGAUACAUGGUUGCCAGAACAAGUUUUUUUCAUGCAAUGGAAGAAACCGUGAAAUCUAUUUCUUAAUUACUUUCUUUGUGAAAUGUACUAUUGAGCAAAUUAUUAGACACACUGAGCAACUCUUUCUUUCUCUCCUAUAGGACAUUACGUAAUUUCGAUUUGAUCGAUUAGCUCUUUCUUUACUCAUGGAAGAUAUCGGUGCUGUCAAAUAGCGGCUAUAGCACUAUAGCAUAACAAUGAUAGCAUAAUGUUAACAACUAUUGCUCCACGAUACGCGAUUCAGUACAAAGUUUUUUAAGUAACUGCUUUAGCUGCACCAUAAGCCUAUAACUCUAGCAUAGUGAAAUUUUAACUAACAGCUAUUUUUUGCAAUUGAUAGUGCUAGAAGAUAUUAUAAUUGUUACAAAUGUUGUUUGGCUAAAUUGCAGUUGCGGUUGUGACUUGUGGUUACACUGGGACCCUUAAUACUAUGGCAUAAUAUAGUCGUAAUUGAAAUGCUGUUGUGAGGACUUUAUAUUGUGUCUACAGACAAUAAUUUAGAACUAUGCU